rnacentral:lncRNA from 1 species
GUGAGAGAGAAUGGAGAAACAGAUAUCCUUUUUCUUUCUUCUGAUUCUAGAAACAUUCUCAUGUACUCCACAUGUCAUCCAAUGGAUAGGAUAUGUAUCGUGGGAAAAAGGGGUAACCAUCUCAUUUUCAAAAUUUGGAUAGAUAGUUUCAAAGCAAUUGAAACUACUCUUCUUUUCCCACUAAAGAAAUUUAAGUGGUGCCCACACAUCAUGGGCACCCACUAGAACUG